AAGCCACCUAAUGAACCUUCUUAUCUUAAUGUAUUUCUGCAGAAUUUAGAAAAACCUGGCAAUAGUAAAGCCAUGUUAUUAGCCUUAAGGACACUGAAGUCAUUAAGGUCUCUACAAAUGGCUACAACA